UACGUAGGGUGCAAGCGUUGUCCGGAAUUAUUGGGCGUAAAGAGCUCGUAGGCGGUUUGUCGCGUCUGCUGUGAAAACCGGAGGCUCAACCUCCGGCCUGCAGUGGGUACGGGCAGACUAGAGUGCGGUAGGGGAGAUUGGAAUUCCUGGUGUAGCGGUGGAAUGCGCAGAUAUCAGGAGGAACACCGAUGGCGAAGGCAGGUCUCUGGGCCACUACUGACGCUGAGAAGCGAAAGCAUGGGGAGCGAACAGG
rnacentral:rRNA from 1 species